rnacentral:rRNA from 1 species
GAAGGUGUGUCGUGAGGCAUGCUGGAGGUAUCAGAAGUGCGAAUGCUGACAUAAGUAACGAUAAAGCGGGUGAAAAGCCCGCUCGCCGGAAGACCAAGGGUUCCUGUCCAACGUUAAUCGGGGCAGGGUGAGUCGACCCCUAAGGCGAGGCCGAAAGGCGUAGUCGAUGGGAAACGGGUUAAUAUUCCCGUACUUGGUGUUACUGCGAAGGGGGGACGGAGAAGGCUAUGUUGGCCGGGCGACGGUUGUCCCGGUUUAAGCGUGUAGGUGUGUGUUCUAGGUAAAUCCGGUUCACUUUAACACUGAGGCGUGACGACGAGGCACUACGGUGCUGAAGCAACAAAUGCCCUGCUUCCAGGAAAAGCCUCUAAGCAUCAGGUAACAUCAAAUCGUACCCCAAACCGACACAGGUGGUCAGGUAGAGAAUACCAAGGCGCUUGAGAGAACUCGGGUGAAGGAACUAGGCAAAAUGGUGCCGUAACUUCGGGAGAAGGCACGCUGACACGUAGGUGAAGUGAUUUACUCAUGGAGCUGAAGUCAGUCGAAGAUACCAGCUGGCUGCAACUGUUUAUUAAAAACACAGCACUGUGCAAACACGAAAGUGGACGUAUACGGUGUGACGCCUGCCCGGUGCCGGAAGGUUAAUUGAUGGGGUCAGCGCAAGCGAAGCUCCUGAUCGAAGCCCCGGUAAACGGCGGCCGUAACUAUAACGGUCCUAAGGUAGCGAAAUUCCUUGUCGGGUAAGUUCCGACCUGCACGAAUGGCGUAAUGAUGGCCAGGCUGUCUCCACCCGAGACUCAGUGAAAUUGAACUCGCUGUGAAGAUGCAGUGUACCCGCGGCAAGACGGAAAGACCCCGUGAACCUUUACUAUAGCUUGACACUGAACAUUGAGCCUUGAUGUGUAGGAUAGGUGGGAGGCUUUGAAGUGUGGACGCCAGUCUGCAUGGAGCCGACCUUGAAAUACCACCCUUUAAUGUUUGAUGUUCUAACGUGGACCCGUUACCCGGGUUGCGGACAGUGUCUGGUGGGUAGUUUGACUGGGGCGGUCUCCUCCUAAAGAGUAACGGAGGAGCACGAAGGUUGGCUAAUCCUGGUCGGACAUCAGGAGGUUAGUGCAAUGGCAUAAGCCAGCUUGACUGCGAGCGUGACGGCGCGAGCAGGUGCGAAAGCAGGUCAUAGUGAUCCGGUGGUUCUGAAUGGAAGGGCCAUCGCUCAACGGAUAAAAGGUACUCCGGGGAUAACAGGCUGAUACCGCCCAAGAGUUCAUAUCGACGGCGGUGUUUGGCACCUCGAUGUCGGCUCAUCACAUCCUGGGGCUGAAGUAGGUCCCAAGGGUAUGGCUGUUCGCCAUUUAAAGUGGUACGCGAGCUGGGUUUAGAACGUCGUGAGACAGUUCGGUCCCUAUCUGCCGUGGGCGCUGGAGAACUGAGGGGGGCUGCUCCUAGUACGAGAGGACCGGAGUGGACGCAUCACUGGUGUUCGGGUUGUCAUGCCAAUGGCACUGCCCGGUAGCUAAAUGCGGAAGAGAUAAGUGCUGAAAGCAUCUAAGCACGAAACUUGCCCCGA